UCUGAGGAGUCACGCAGCUCACA
rnacentral:piRNA from 1 species